rnacentral:rRNA from 1 species
UACGGAGGGUGCAAGCGUUAUCCGGAUUCACUGGGUUUAAAGGGUGCGUAGGUGGGUCUGUAAGUCCGUGGUGAAAUCUCCAAGCUUAACUUGGAAACUGCCAUGGAUACUAUAGGUCUUGAAUACCGUGGAGGUGAGCGGAAUAUGUCAUGUAGCGGUGAAAAUGCUUAGAUAUGACAUAGAACACCAAUUGCGAAGGCAGCUCACUACACGAAUAUUGACACUGAGGCACGAAAAGCGUGGGGGAUCAAAACAGG